AGAUUGAACGCUGGCGGCAGGCCUAACACAUGCAAGUCGAGCGGCAGCACGGGUACUUGUACCUGGUGGCGAGCGGCGGACGGGUGAGUAAUGCCUAGGAAUCUGCCUGGUAGUGGGGGAUAACGCUCGGAAACGGACGCUAAUACCGCAUACGUCCUACGGGAGAAAGCAGGGGACCUUCGGGCCUUGCGCUAUCAGAUGAGCCUAGGUCGGAUUAGCUAGUUGGUGAGGUAAUGGCUCACCAAGGCGACGAUCCGGUAACUGGUCUGAGGA
rnacentral:rRNA from 1 species